rnacentral:misc_RNA from 1 species
AAUUCUCAACCUUCCAGCUUUUAUAAGCUUGGUUAGGCUUGGAUGUGGGAGUUGCGGGCUUCAUCAAUGAGGUCGGCUUUCCUCAAAUGCAUUAGCGGAACUUUUGUGGACCGUCUAUUGGUGUGAUAAUUAUCUACGCCGUGGAUGUGAAACAGCUUUAUGAAGUUCAGCUUCAAACCGUCCAUUCACUUGGACAAUUUUGACA